CCCUUAGAUGUUCUGGGCCGCACGCGCGCUACACUGACGAAUGCAACGAGCUUAUAACCUUGGCCGAAAGGUCUGGGUAAUCUCCAAAUUUCGUCGUGAUGGGGAUAGAUUAUUGCAAUUAUUAAUCUUCAACGAGGAAUGCCUAGUAAGCGCAAGUCAUCAGCUUGCGUUGAUUACGUCCCUGCCCUUUGUACACACCGCCCGUCGCUCCUACCGAUUGAAUGGUCCGAUGAAGCGUUCGGACCGUGGCCUUUGGACGGUUCGCCGUCUGUUGGCUGCGGGAAGUUCGUUAAACCUUAUCAUUUAGAGGAAGGAGAAGUCGUAACA
rnacentral:rRNA from 1 species